ACUGUUCAGUUUAAUUCUUUAAAACAAAUUGUUUGCAUACUUGUUUUAUUAAUCAAAGAAUAAAGGAAAAAUAAAUUAAUGUAUUUGCGGGGAUCACUUCUUACCCUUGUUAAGAAGCGCCGUUCCAUUCAUGGUGAAUAGGAGAGAUGAAUCAGAAGUCCAAAAUACCUGGAUUCAAACGUGGAACUCCAGUAAAAUCGGUAGGAGAAUGGUUGGAGCUGUUAUAUGGGGGCUAUGCUAAGACGGGAGCCUAUAUAGACAAUUUUAUCCAACGAUUGUAAUCUAUCGCGAGCCUGAAAUAUCAUAAUUUUUAGACAAACGCGUAGAAAAAUGCGGUUAAAACCAUCAAAAUGACGAAUAUCGGGGGGUACCGGUAUACAGGGCCAUACGAAAACGUGCUGCUAUCCAUCGGAGCUAGAACCCACACAACAACCUACAUAUACCAAUUUGUAGACAAAUCCAAUGGAAAGUGUGGAUAAAACCAUUAAAAUACCGAAAGUCGGGAUGUACCUUCAUAUGGGGGCUUGAAACGUGCUGAUUUCAUCACGUACAUUUAUACAAACAAUGAGAACAACAACAGCGGCCACUGCAAGUGCGACGCUAACAGCACCAACCAACCACCAUUACCAUGCACACACGACUCGGUCAUACGCAGUCAACAAGGCGACAACAGCACUAGCCAACAAACGCAGCAUUCAUUGGGCGCGUGGUGAACAAAGUAGUUUUCGGUGGUGUGCUGCUCACAGCGUAAGGCUAAAAAUUCGCAAUGACUUGGUAGAACCGGUCACAUAUAGUGUUCAGUUUGAGGUGCGAUGAGGAAGGCUCGCUACUGCAGGAGCUUGCCAAAGAGUAGCUAGUGAUUUUUCUAAAGAUCAACGGCCGUCCUCCGACUAAUAAAAGCAUUAGUCGGGAAUACUUUUCCAAGACUGGCUCUCAUUAAUUUGAGUGGCUGGUAAUUCAUUUACACAGGAGUCUCGGCUCGCUGUUCCACAGGAACUUCGGUUCGCUGUUCCACAGGAGUUUCGGUUCGCUGUUCCACAGGAGCUUCGGCUCGCUGUUCCACGGAAACUUCGGUUCGCUGUUCUACAGGAGUUUCGGCUCGCUGUUCCACAGGAACAUCGGUUCGUUGUUCCACAGGAGUUUCGGCUCGCUGUUCCACAGGAGUUUCGGCUCGCUGUUCCACAGGAACUUCGGUUCGCUGUUCCGUAUAAUAGUCAAACGUUGGUAGUGGAGUAGACGUAGUUAGAGAAUCGUAGCUAGACUAGUUACCUCGCCCCUGUAGCCGACCCGAAUAAAAAGAACCCGAGCUGCCGAACGAGCCACGAUCCAUCUACACAGCGUAACGCAUCGGUUGCUGAAUCUACCCUCAACGAGCUGCCGAACACGUACGAAUGUCAAUCCGCUCACGAAGACCUGGACAGCUGCUCCCGAUUACCUUCUAAUCGUCAACAACCCUCAUCACACGAACACCAAUAUCGUAAUUCCUGAUCGUCGACAACCGACGACCACAAGUUCCCGAUUACCUUCAAAUCGACAACGACCAUGAGUUCCCGAUUACCGUCAACAGAACGCAUCACCCGAACACAAUCAUCAUAAUUCCUGAUCGUCGACAACCGACGACCACAAGUUCCCGAUUACCUUCUAAUCGUCAACAACCCUCAUCACCUGAACACCAACAUCGUAAUUCCUGAUCGUCGACAACCGACGACCACAAGUUCCCGAUUAGCUUCAAAUCGUCAACGACCAUGAGUUCCCUAUUACCGUCAACAGAACGCAUCACCCGAACACAAUCAUCGUAAUUCCUGAUCGUCGACAACCGACGACCACAAGUUCCCGAUUACCUUCAAAUCGUCAACAACAGUUAUCACCCGAACACAAUCGUCGUAAUUCCCGAUCGUCGACAACCGAAGACUACAAGUUUCCGAUUACCGUCAAAUCGUCAACAGAACGUAUCACCCAAACACAAUCAUCGUAAUUCCUGAUCGUCGACAACCGACGACCACAAGUUCCCGAUUACCUUCAAAUCGUCAACGACCAUAAGUUUCCAAUUACCGUUAAAUCGUCAACAGAACGCAUCACCCGAACACAAUCAUCGUAAUUCCUGAUCGUCGACAACUGACGAACACAAGUUCCCGAUUACCUUCGAAUCGUCAACGUAAGCGUCACCCGAACGCAACACCGUAAUUCCCGUAAUCAACCACCCGAGUAUUCAUUGUGUGCACCCGACGUCAUCGUUCUCGAGUCGUACACCCUCCUGCAUACGAUACGAGUUAGCAUCGAAUCCCCGAUCAUCAACUAAGCACCAGUACCUUGAAAUCACGAACAUCUCCGAAGUCCAUUUGCCAUCCUAUAUUCCAUAUUUAUCUUAUCGUAUUUCAACCCGAGUAGAUUGUAAUUUAGAAUUAAAGAUCAAUAAAACAUCCGAUUUUUACCCCCAGGAAAGGGAGAAA